rnacentral:rRNA from 1 species
AGAUUGAACGCUGGCGGCAGGCCUAACACAUGCAAGUCGUGCGGUAGAGAGGUGCUUGCACCUCUUGAGAGCGGCGGACGGGUGAGUAAUGCCUAGGAAUCUGCCUAGUGGUGGGGGAUAACGUUCGGAAACGGACGCUAAUACCGCAUACGUCCUACGGGAGAAAGCGGGGGACCUUCGGGCCUCGCGCCAUUAGAUGAGCCUAGGUCGGAUUAGCUAGUUGGUGAGGUAAUGGCUCACCAAGGCGACGAUCCGUAACUGGUCUGAGAGGAUGAUCAGUCACACUGGAACUGAGACACGGUCCAGACUCCUACGGGAGGCAGCAGUGGGGAAUAUUGGACAAUGGGCGAAAGCCUGAUCCAGCAAUGCCGCGUGAGUGAUGAAGGCCUUAGGUUGUAAAGCUCUUUUACCCGGGAUGAUAAUGACAGUACCGGAGAAUAAGCUCCGGCUAACUCUGUGCCAGCAGCCGC